CGCCGGGCGCACGGGACUCCAGGGGGCUGCUGGAGGCUGCGGUGCCGGGGUGCGUGCUGUUCAGAGGCUCCAUCUUCAGCAUUGAGGCUGCCUGCACAGCAGGGGCUGCGGAAAAAGCCGCAGACCCUGCACUGGAUGGAUCAGCUGACACCACCCAGACCUGUAAUCUGGCUCAACCAGUUCUGCCAUCCCACCCAGGAACAGAAGAUAGCAAGGAAAACUCAUUUCGACCUCCUAUGAUUCCAUCUCCAACCUGAUCAGUCAGCACUCCCCACUUUCCAAGCCCCUACCUGCCAAAUUGUCUUUAAAAACUCUAAUCCCUGAAUAAUCACGAAGACUGAUUUGAGUAACAAUAAAACUCCGGUCUCCUGCA